rnacentral:rRNA from 1 species
AUAACGAACGAGACCUUAACCUGCUAAAUAGCCAGGCCCGCUUUGGCGGGUCGCCGGCUUCUUAGAGGGACUAUCGGCUCAAGCCGAUGGAAGUUUGAGGCAAUAACAGGUCUGUGAUGCCCUUAGAUGUUCUGGGCCGCACGCGCGCUACACUGACAGAGCCAACGAGUUCAUCACCUUGGCCGGAAGGUCUGGGUAAUCUUGUUAAACUCUGUCGUGCUGGGGAUAGGGCAUUGCAAUUAUUGCCCUUCAACGAGGAAUGCCUAGUAAGCGCAAGUCAUCAGCUUGCGUUGAUUACGUCCCUGCCCUUUGUACACACCGCCCGUCGCUACUACCGAUUGAAUGG